rnacentral:lncRNA from 1 species
AUGUCUGUGGCACUGCAAGAUAACGCACCCACAGCUGUCCUUCAGAAACCUGCACACCUAACAACAUGGCAUCAGGGAGUACAUGGCAUCAGUUGUUAUGAUGUCCUUACAAUCCUGUUUGUGCUUUGUAGGUUCCCUGUGUGUGGUGAUUCAGGAGAAACCAAACUGCGCUUAGAGAGAAGAGGUCAAUGUUGGGCAGCAGGACUGGCCGUGGCCCUGGAGGAAAAGGUGGAUUCUGGAAUAAUACAACUGCAAAUCAUCUUCAAGAGACGAAGACUUAAUUCUGGCUAAUACUGCUACUCCUCAAAGGAUGAAUCUGAAGAGCAAGAAGGGUUCCAUUUGUCAUGUCCUGAUUGCUGCAUUCUUUGUCAAACACAACUUUCUAAAAGAAUCUGGAAGGAAUUGACUCCUUUGUGGUAACAGCUGGAAACAUUUAGAGGAUAAUUCUUCAGAGUGCAAGUUGAAGCAGGCUGAGGUAGAUUGAGAGUAAAUUCAAAGUUAUCCUUGCAGGUCUUAUUACAGCCCAAAUAAAGGUUGCUGGAUGAAAUCA